rnacentral:rRNA from 1 species
CCAGGCGCGAAACCUCCGCAAUGCGGGAAACCGUGACGGGGUCACCCCGAGUGCCCCCGUAAGGGGGCUUUUCCCCGCUGUAAGGAGGCGGGGGAAUAAGCGGGGGGCAAGUCUGGUGUCAGCCGCCGCGGUAAUACCAGCCCCGCGAGUGGUCGGGACUCUUGCUGGGCCUAAAGCGCCCGUAGCCGGCCCGGUAAGUCCCUCCUUAAAGCCCCGGGCUCAACCCGGGGAGCGGGGGGAUACUGCCGGGCUAGGGGGCGGGAGAGGCCGGGGGUACCCCAGGGGUAGGGGCGAAAUCCGAUAAUCCCUGGGGGACCACCAGUGGCGAAGGCGCCCGGCUGGAACGCGCCCGACGGUGAGGGGCGAAAGCCGGGGGAGCGAACCGGAUUAGAUACCCGGGUAGUCCCGGCUGUAAACUAUGCGGGCCAGGUGUCGGGCGGGCGUUAGAGCCCGCCCGGUGCCGCAGGGAAGCCGUUAAGCCCGCCGCCUGGGGAGUACGGCCGCAAGGCUGAAACUUAAAGGAAUUGGCGGGGGGGCACACAAGGGGUGGAGCCUGCGGCUCAAUUGGAGUCAACGCCGGGAACCUCUACCGGGGGCGACAGCAGGAUGACGGCCAGGCUAACGACCUUGCCCGACGCGCUGAGGGGAGGUGCAUGGCCGUCGCCAGCUCGUGCUGUGAAGUGUCCUGUUAAGUCAGGCAACGAGCGAGACCCCCACCCCUAGUUGCGACCCUGCGGGCGACCGCGGGGGCACACUAGGGGGACUGCCGCCGCUAAGGCGGAGGAAGGAGGGGGCCACGGCAGGUCAGCAUGCCCCUAAACCCCCGGGCUGCACGCGGGCUACAAUGGCGGGGACAGCGGGAUCCGACCCCGAAAGGGGGAGGCAAUCCCUGAAACCCCGCCGUAG